GUUGACAGUUAUUGAUCUACAAGUCAUUUUGCAUGCUGAACAACCCUAGCGAAUAUCAGUAGCCUAGUCAAACUGCCCACUGUGCCCAGCUUCGCAGGCUGACCAAUGCGAGACCUCUUCCACUUUGACAAUUGGCAUAUUGUCUUAAGCGUGUGGGUGGGGUGCCGUUUCCGUCAACUCUUCCACAGAUGCGGACUGGUUACUUGCAAAGGUGGGAUAAAGUCACUAUUAUUCGAGUCACAAGAAAGACUGAAGUCACGAGGUCUAAUUUGAUUUGAUGAUCUUCAUCAGAAUGCACUCCCAGGAAUCCCAUUUCCCCAAUAAAUGUUUGUUUUGUUCGAUAAUGUUCAUAA